AGGAGUAUCAUGGAGGAGUGUUCUCUUUACUGCACCAUUAGGCCAUAUUUUAUGGGUGAGAUUUAUGGGUGAAAUGGCAGUCAUCUUCCCAGGUUAGUAAUUUGUAGAUUGUGUGUGAUGCCAGCAAACAAGCGUCGAAACAGAGUGCGGGCACUGAUUCAAAUGACUUGCCAAAUUAUAUUUGUAAUUGGGAGUAACGUUUAUGUCAAAAGCUCGCCUUCCUGCCAAAUGUUUACUAUACCAUAAGAAGAUGGCUUAUGAACCCGAGAGGAUGCAUCAUAACAGCAGCAAGAGGUAGUUAUGAGACACACCUUUCUCAGAGAUAAGUACAGCAGCCACACAAAGCCUCCUUACUUAAUCAUUAACGAUCGACACUUUGGUAAGUAAAGGAACCUACAAGGAAAUGGGAGGACUAAUUUUAGCAGGAGCUCAGAAGGUAUCAGACACAGUUACACAAAGAAGCAAGGGACAAGCACGUCUUCAUAUUGGGGAGAUCAAGUCAAGAGACACAAGAUGAACCUGUUCACCCAGCAAACUGUGAUGCUUUGGCUCUGUGUUGCUCGUACACUCACGACGGCAGAGCUGGUGAAGCUAAGCACUGUUGACUCUGUCAUUGUGUGGUGUCACCAGAGUGUCCGCCUCCAAUGUAACAUCUCCACCUCCCAGGAGGGACUGUUGAUCAAACAUCUGGCCUGGGUCCGCCAGGACGGGAAGCACCUGUGUGAUGUUAACGGAACUGAAGUGACCGGGACCCACCCAGGGAGCACAACUAGUGCUAUGGAGUGUAGUUAUACCCCACAGACACAGCUGUCCCUGACUCUGCUGCAGGUACGACCACUGGAUCAGGGAAAGUACUUGUGCAAGCUGCGCUCCAGUCAUGGAGUAAAGGAGGCCACUACAAUGGUGAAGCUGCAAGAGUCCUACAAGGAGGCCCAGCCCAGUAUCAGUGAUGAGGGCCCAACCUGCACCUUCACUGGGGUCUAUCCUGAUGGCGAGGUGCACUGGUUCCAGGGACCCAACAACGUGACUGGGGACUCUACAAUCAACACUAAACAAGUGGAAGAUGGAGCGUCAUUGACUAUAACUAGUUCCCUGAAAAGAAAGACAGUCUCUGGGGAAGAGGCCUACAACUGCUCCCUGUGGAUCCCCAGUACCGGAUCCUACCUGACCAGCAGCUUAGUGGUACCAGAGCAUGAUAAAGCCAGGGUUGCGCAGCCCAAUGCCAGUGGGUCAGGGUCCAUUGGUCCUUUGUGGAAACCUUUUCUAGUCCUCCUGAGUACUCUCUUCCUGGUGUGACGUCUUGAAAACAAACAUGAACAAAUUGACAAGCAAGUGCCAGGAUCAUUUAAUAAGAAUAUGGAAGAGCCAUUGUGUGAGGUUCCUUUCAUGGUCCAAAGGUUUCCUUGGCUGCGUAGAACAAGGAAAUGAUGAACAGAUGAGAGAGGCUGAUCAACCUAUUGUGAACGCACCCUUGUUGGUCUGCCAGUGCCAGAUAUAAAUGAUUGUUAAUUAAAAACUGCAAACGGCAGUAGAAACAGUAACAAAGCUUACUUCCUGCCAGUUUUGGUAAAAAAUUGAGGGAUGGGGCUGGAGAAAUGUAACCACUCUCAAAUUCAUAGACGCGCUUUGGAUGCAUGGACUGACCAUCCAUGAUAUCAAAAUAAUAGUUUUAACAAUGUUUUGAGGCUAUAUAGUGUUUUAUUAAAUUGGAGUUGAACAAGCUUCUGAUGGGGUAAGAGAGUUGCACUAAGCUCAUGAGGCAUUUAUAAGUUACAUUCUUCAAGAAUUAAUGUGUACAUAUUAAAAAAAUGAUGUGACAACUACUGAUUGCCCCUUUAAGGGCGUGACCUUUUGUAGAAAAGCCUUCCUGUUUGCGUUAAUCAGAGAGAUCCCCUUGGACAGGAGCGGUGGUUUAACUGGGUUGAUUUUUUUUGUUGUUGAUUUUUUAAGUACAAUGGUAAAUGUAGUGUUUGCUGGCGCCCAUAGUCCACCUAGACACAUCCUCCGUGAGUGUUGUAACACCAACGUUUAACUGAAUGAGAAUUGUGAGAAAUGUAUUGUUAGUAAUGUUUGUUUGUGAGGUGAUAUUCCUGCUUAGGAUGGAUGUAAAUAAAUGGCUGCAUCCUGAUUAUCCCAUGC
rnacentral:lncRNA from 1 species